UACGAAGGGGGCUAGCGUUGCUCGGAAUUACUGGGCGUAAAGCGCACGUAGGCGGCUUUCUAAGUCGGGGGUGAAAUCCUGGAGCUCAACUCCAGAACUGCCUUCGAUACUGGAAAGCUCGAGUCCGGGAGAGGUGAGUGGAACUGCGAGUGUAGAGGUGAAUUCGUAGAUAUUCGCAAGAACACCAGUGGCGAAGGCGGCUCACUGGCCCGGUACUGACGCUGAGGUGCGAAAGCGUGGGAGCAACAGG
rnacentral:rRNA from 1 species